rnacentral:rRNA from 1 species
UAGGGAAUAUUGCACAAUGGGCGAAAGCCUGAUGCAGCAACGCCGCGUGCGCGAAGAAGGCCUUCGGGUCGUAAAGCGCUUUUCGGGGAGAUGAGGAAGGACAGUAUCCCCGGAAUAAGGCUCGGCUAACUACGUGCCAGCAGCCGCGGUAACACGUAGGAGCCAAGCGUUAUCCGAAUUCACUGGGCGUAAAGCGCGUGCAGGCGGCUCGAUAAGUUGGAUGUGAAAGCUCCCGGCUCAACUGGGAGAGGACGUUCAAAACUAUCGAGCUAGAGGACGGCAGAGGAAGGUGGAAUUCCCGGUGUAGUGGUGAAAUGCGUAGAUAUCGGGAGGAACACCGAGUGGCGAAGGCGGCCUUCGUGGGCCGUACCUGACGCUCAGACGCGAAAGCUAGGGGAGC